AAGGCAUCUCUGUCUCAAGAUUAGCCAUGCAUGUCUAAGUAUAAACAAUUAUAUACUGUGAAACUGCGAAUGGCUCAUUAUAUCAGUUAUAGUUUAUUUGAUAAUCUCUUACUACAUGGAUAACCGUGGUAAUUUUAGAGCUAAUACAUGCGUCAAAGCCCGACUUUUUGGAAAGGCUGUAUUUAUUAGAUUAAAACCAAUGCAUUUCGGUGCUUUCUGGUGAUUCAUAAUAACUUCUCGAAUCGUAUGUCUUCGGACGACGAUAUUUCAUUCAAAUUUCUGCCCUAUCAAUUAUCGAUGGUAGGAUAGAGGCCUACCAUGGUUGUAACGGGUAACGGAGAAUUAGGGUUCGAUUCCGGAGAGGGAGCCUGAGAAACGGCUACCACUUCUAAGGAAGGCAGCAGGCGCGCAAAUUACCCAAUCCCGACUCGGGGAGGUAGUGACAAAACAUAUCGUACCUGAGCAUUUUUUGCUUCAGGCAUUGGAAUGAGAACAAUUUAAACCCCUUAUCUAAUUCAAUUGGAGGGCAAGUCUGGUGCCAGCAGCCGCGGUAAUUCCAGCUCCAGUAGCGUAUAUUAAAGUUGUUGCAGUUAAAACGCCCGUAGUCGAACUUUGGGUGAGGUUUUCUGGUCAAUCAUUUUGAUUCGUACUAGAUAAGCCGAACCUUUUCCUGGGAGCUGUCGCAAGAUGGAUUCUCAGGGUUUUACUUUGAAGAAAUUAGAGUGUUUAAGGCAAGCGAGUGCUUGAAUACGUUAGCAUGGAAUAAUAAAAUAGGAUUUUGGUCUUAUCUUGUUGGUUUUAAAGACCAAAGUAAUGAUUAAUAGGGAUAGUUGGGGGGCAUUAGUACUCAUGGGCUAGAGGUGAAAUUCUUAGAUUCCCUGAAGACUAACUACUGCGAAAGCAUUUGCCAAGGAUGUUUUCAUUGAUCAAGGACGAAAGUUAAAGGUAGCGAAGACGAUCAGAUACCGUCGUAGUCUUAACCAUAAACUAUGCCGACUAGGGGUCGGUGAAUGUUAUUUAAUAACGUCAUCGGCACCUUAUGAGAAUCAAGUUUUUAGGUUCUGGGGGAGUAUGGUCGCAAGGCUGAACUUAGAGGAAUUGACGAGGCACCACCAAGAGUGAGCUGCCGCUACUGACUCACACGGAACUUCACCAGUCAGAACGUAGACGGAUUGACAGAAUUGAUAG
rnacentral:rRNA from 1 species